GAUAAACGCUGGCGGCGUGCAUGAGACAUGCAAGUCGAACGAAGGAUCGGGCUUGCUCGAUCCUUAGUGGCGGACGGCUGAGUAACGCGUAGGUGACCUACCCCGAAGUGGGGAAUAACUGCCCGAAAGGGUGGCUAAUACCGCAUGUGGUCGCACGUUCAUUCGUGCGAGUAAAGCCGCAAGGCGCUUCGGGAGGGGCCUGCGUCCGAUUAGCUCGUUGGUGGGGUAUGGCUUACCAAGGCGACGAUCGGUAGGUGGUCUGAGAGGACGAUCACCCAGACUGGGACUGAGACACGGCCCAGACUCCUACGGGAGGCAGCAGUCGGGAAUUUUGCUCAAUGGGGGAAACCCUGAAGCAGCAACGCCGCGUGAGGGAUGAAGGCCUUCGGGUUGUAAACCUCUUUUGUCAGGGACGAUGAUGACGGUACCUGGCGAAUAAGCCACGGCUAACUACGUG
rnacentral:rRNA from 1 species